rnacentral:rRNA from 1 species
UGGUACAGAGGGCAGCCAAGUCGUGAGGCGGAGCUAAUCCCUUAAAGCCAUUCUCAGUUCGGAUUGUAGGCUGAAACUCGCCUACAUGAAGCUGGAGUUACUAGUAAUCGUAGAUCAGAAUGCUGCGGUGAAUGCGUUCCCGGGUCUUGUACACACCGCCCGUCACACCACGGAAGUUGGGGGCGCCCGAAGCCACUUAGCUAACCCUUUUGGGAAGCGAGUGUCGAAGGUGAAAUCAAUAACUGGGGUGAAGUCGUAACAAGGUAAC